rnacentral:rRNA from 2 species
GGACUACCCGGGUAUCUAAUCCUGUUUGCUCCCCACGCUUUCGUGCAUGAGCGUCAGUAUGAUCCCAGGGGGCUGCCUUCGCCAUCGGUGUUCCUCCACAUCUCUACGCAUUUCACUGCUACACGUGGAAUUCCACCCCCCUCUGACCUACUCUAGCCGGACAGUCUCCAAUGCAGUUCCCAAGUUGAGCUCGGGGAUUUCACAUCAGACUUAUCCAACCGCCUGCGCACGCUUUACGCCCAGUAAUUCCGAUUAACGCUUGCACCCUACGUAUUACCGCGGCGGCUGGCAC